ensembl:snRNA U6 U6 spliceosomal RNA
UUGCUUCAGCAACAAAUAUACUAAAAUUGGGACAAUAGUGAGAAAACUAACAUGGCCUCUGUGCAAGGAUGAUGUGCAAAUUCAUGAAGUGUUCCAUAUUGUU